GGAGCUUGCUCCCGGAUGUUAGCGGCGGACGGGUGAGUAACACGUGGGUAACCUGCCUGUAAGACUGGGAUAACUCCGGGAAACCGGAGCUAAUACCGGAUAGUUCCUUGAACCGCAUGGUUCAAGGAUGAAAGACGGUUUCGGCUGUCACUUACAGAUGGACCCGCGGCGCAUUAGCUAGUUGGUGGGGUAAUGGCUCACCAAGGCGACGAUGCGUAGCCGACCUGAGAGGGUGAUCGGCCACACUGGGACUGAGACACGGCCCAGACUCCUACGGGAGGCAGCAGUAGGGAAUCUUCCGCAAUGGACGAAAGUCUGACGGAGCAACGCCGCGUGAGUGAUGAAGGUUUUCGGAUCGUAAAGCUCUGUUGUUAGGGAAGAACAAGUGCGAGAGUAACUGCUCGCACCUUGACGGUACCUAACCAGAAAGCCACGGCUAACUACGUGCCAGCAGCCGCGGUAAUACGUANNUGGCAAGCGUUGUCCGGAAUUAUUGGGCGUAAAGGGCUCGCAGGCGGUUUCUUAAGUCUGAUGUGAAAGCCCCCGGCUCAACCGGGGAGGGUCAUUGGAAACU
rnacentral:rRNA from 1 species